rnacentral:misc_RNA from 1 species
AACGCACAUUGCGCCCUCUGGUAUUCCGGAGGGCAUGCCUGUCCGAGCGUCAUUGCUGCCCUCAAGCACGGCUUGUGUGUUGGGCCCCGUCCCCCCCGCGCCGGGGGGACGGGCCCGAAAGGCAGCGGCGGCACCGCGUCCGGUCCUCGAGCGUAUGGGGCUUCGUCACCCGCUCUUGUAGGCCCGGCCGGCGCCAGCCGACCCCCAACCUUUAUAUUUUCUCAGGUUGACCUCGGAUCAGGUAGGGAUACCCGCUGAACUUAA